GACGAACGCUGGCGGCGUGCUUAACACAUGCAAGUCGAACGGAAAGGCCCUGCUUUUGUGGGGUGCUCGAGUGGCGAACGGGUGAGUAACACGUGAGUAACCUGCCCUUGUCUUUGUGAUAACUUCAGGAAACUGGGGCUAUUACCGGAUAGGAUCUCCUGCUGCAUGUUGGGCGUUGGAAAGUUUCGGCGGUUGGGGAUGUACUCGCGGCUUAUCAGCUUGUUUGUGGGGUAGUGGCUUACCAAGGCUUUGACGGGUAGCCGGCCUGAGAGGGUGACCGGCCACAUUGGGACUGAGAUACGGACCAGACUCCUACGGGAGGCAGCAGUGGGGAAUAUUGCAGAAUGGGCGGAAGCCUGAUGCAGCAACGCCGCGUGCGUGAUGACCGCCUUCGGGUUGUAAACCGCUUUCGACUGUGACGAAGCGUGAGUGACGGUAAUGGGUAAAGAAGCACCGGCUAACUACGUG
rnacentral:rRNA from 1 species